AGUUAGCAAUACUUUAAUCGUUUAAUGCAGCGAUAUAGCCAGUUAUUAAUGCCACAUUGUAGAUUUUAGCCUGUUCCAAUCAUCCUUAUAUCGAGUUAAUGAAAUUUAUGAAAUUGCCUACCGUUCAAAUCGCUCUCUGUUGUUAGCACCACACUGAUUAACUACAAUGUUCCAAUUUUUUAGAAUUAUGUCCGACAUAAUUCUAAUUUUUGCUGUUACAGCAGAUAGUUAUGGUGAAAUGGCACGCAGGAAUAAGUCAUCCCUGUCCUCCAAAAAGCACAUGAAAAGGAAGAAUUGAAGCAAUCUCAAGAGAAAAGAAGGGAAUCUGGAUCCUUCGUCGGAUCGUCACAGAGCUUAGAGGGGAGCUCUACGCUUCACUGGCCAUGCAAAGCAGGGAGAGUGACGGAGGCGGAGGCACUGCUGGCUGCUGGAGCGGACAUUAACAAGCUGGACAGAGCGCAGUUGAACCCUUUCAUGGACGCGAUCAACUCAGGACAGGUCGACUGUGCUAGAUGGCUGCUGAGGCAAGACGGUUGAAAGCUUCAGCCCGAGAUAUGGUCGUUUUGUAGGGAGAGGGGGCUAGAGUCAGUGCUAACAGCUUAACAGAAGGUAAAAUCCUGAACUUUUGUUCAUUGAUUCUUUGAAUCAAUGAACAGAUUCAAAGAAUCAAUGAACAAUCGUUCAGAUGUAAAAAUUAUUUAUUCACUAUUUUGCAUUACAUUUAGUUACAGGACUGACAUGCGACAUCCGUCGUUGACCUUUGUCUUUAUUUCAGCAAGGUACGGAGAGCGAUCCAUGGCUGUCCCGAUAGACCCACUCAGACUCCUGCCGGAAGAUACUCCUCCGGUUGAUCCAGAUGAGACAGUUCUAGCAGAUGAUCAGUUACAGACUGAAGAACAUAUCCCACAGAUCAAUGCGUCAACAUCUGCAAAUGAAGCUGAUAUCAGAAUCGAAAUGAUGAUGGUACUACACGAGAUGCUCAUGGAAAAGGUAUCAGUUUGCUUUUC